rnacentral:rRNA from 1 species
GACGAACCGUGCAAACGUUGUUCGGAAUCACUGGGCUUAAAGGGCGCGUAGGCGCCACGCCAGUCUGGGGUGAAAUCUUUCGGCUCAACCGGAAAAUUGCCUGGGAUACUGCGUGGCUCGAGGGAGGUAGGGGCGGUCGGAACUUCCGGUGUAGCGGUGAAAUGCGUAGAUAUCGGAAGGAACACCUGUGGCGAAAGCGGCUCACUGGACCAUAACUGACGCUGAGGCGCGAAAGCGUGGGGAGCGAACAGG